GUGCUCACUUCAGUAGCACAUACACUAAAUUUGGAAUGAUGCAGAGAUUUAGCAUGGCCUCUGCACAAGGAUGACACACAAGUUCAUGAAGCAUUCCAUAUUUUU